rnacentral:rRNA from 1 species
AGAGUUUGAUCCUGGCUCAGGACGAACGCUGGCGGCGUGCUUAACACAUGCAAGUCGAACGGAUCUUCAGCUUUCGGGUUGUUGGUUAGUGGCGAACGGGUGAGUAACACGUGAGUAACCUGCCCUUCACUUUGGGAUAACUGUGGGAAAUUGUAGCUAAUACCGGAUAUUCAUUUCUUGUCGCAUGACGGGUGAUGGAAAGAUUUUUUGGUGGGGGAUGGGCUCGCGGCCUAUCAGCUUGUUGGUGGGGUGAUGGCCUACCAAGGCUUUGACGGGUAGCCGGCCUGAGAGGGCGACCGGCCACACUGGGACUGAGAUACGGCCCAGACUCCUACGGGAGGCAGCAGUGGGGAAUAUUGCACAAUGGACGGAAGUCUGAUGCAGCAACGCCGCGUGCGGGAUGACGGCCUUCGGGUUGUAAACCGCUUUCACUAGGGGCGAAUUUGGACGGUACCUGGGGAAGAAGCACCGGCUAACUACGUGCCAGCAGCCGCGGUGAUACGUAGGGUGCGAGCGUUGUCCGGAUUUGUUGGGCGUAAAGAGCUCGUAGGUGGUUUGUUGCGUCGGGAGUGAAAACCUGCGGCUUAACUGUGUGCUUGCUUUCGAUACGGGCAGACUUGAGGAAGGUAGGGGAGAGCGGAAUUCCUGGUGGAGCGGUGGAAUGCGCAGAUAUCAGGAUGAACACCGGUGGCGAAGGCGGUUCUCUGGACCUUUCCUGACGCUGAGGAGCGAAAGCGUGGGGAGCGAACAGGCUUAGAUACCCUGGUAGUCCACGCCGUAAACGGUGGGCACUAGGUGUGGGGGACAUUCCACGUUCUCUGUGCCGUAGCUAACGCAUUAAGUGCCCCGCCUGGGGAGUACGGCCGCAAGGCUAAAACUCAAAGGAAUUGACGGGGGCCCGCACAAGCGGCGGAGCAUGCGGAUUAAUUCGAUGCAACGCGAAGAACCUUACCUGGGUUUGACAUCUGCCGGAAGCAUC